UGGCCGGAAGUGAGGGCCGCCGGCCCCGCCCACCGCACAGGUGGAACCGCUGUCUAGGGGCUGAAAUCCAGAAGAUGCGGGACUUGGAGCCCAACCUUCAGCAAAGAAGAUCACCCUGACUAUCCAUCAUGGCUGCUUCAGAAGCUGUGUCUAAAAAAUCAGAAUGUCCCACAUUAGAGAUCACCAGGCAAGAUUUUUUUCAAGAAGCACAAGCUCUCAUCGCCCAACAUAAUGAGAAAAUAAAUGAGGGUAAAAUUCAAGGUCCUUCCAUAAAUGUUUUUAGAAAUAAACACCAAAAACCAAAAUCUGGCAAAUUCUUACCUUUGGAGAUUAAAAAAAAGGAAAUGCUUGAUGUCAUCCAAGAAUUUCAGACAGCACACAAAAAUUUAUGUUUUCUCAAAGAGUCCAAAGAGCUUUCCAAAAAGGAACGUAUUGAGGAAUCUUCACGAAAAAUUUCUUUCAAGGAGCCAAGCAUUUUUAAUGUAAAAGAAAAAGGCAAAGAAUCUAUAGAUCAAAUUCUGAAAGAACAAGUUAAACUGGGUGAAAUACUAACUGAUAUUGAAGCAGUGAGUAAAAAAAUGGAGAAAGGAAAGCACCACCAUCUUUUGAAACCCAGAAUUUUGGACUCACAUUUAUCGCCCAGUUUACAAUCGAUCAAGAUCUGUUCCAGGCGACUUCUGAGGGGAAAGGACAGAGCAGUCUGCGACUGGAGAGGAAUUUCAUCAAGGUCUAGCCGCUCGACUCCUGACUCUGAUCGGUUAGCUUUCUCCAGAUCAUCAUCAGUGUUUCGGGAUAAAAGCUUUCUGAAAAGAGACCUGCAGCCUGACAAGCCAAUACUGAAGCCACGACCCAGGGGGAAAUCUGUUCCAAGUAAAGUUGAUAAAAUUGACAAUAAAGUUAAAAGGAUUGGGCCACACUUAGACAUCUUCCAAGUGUUCUGGGAAAAGAGCAAAGUACGUAUUAACAAAAAAACAGUCAAACUGAUCACCACCAUGCAGGCCUUCGUCAGAGGAUGGCUUGAACGCAAAAGAUUCCGAAGACUAAUGAUCAAGGUACAGUUUAUGGCUUUGUAUCAUGGACCAAAUUUGAAAGCAGUUAUAAAAAUGUAUUGCAAACUAAUUCAUCGUGUUAAACAUCGACUUGGUCUUUGGAGAACAAGACAAAUUAUAUGCUUACCAGAGCUCGAAGAAUGGAUGGAUAGAAAAAAAUACUAUGAAGUGAUGUUCGCUAAGAGAGAAGAAUGGCAAGGAAUAGAAAGAAACGAACUUCUCAAGUACUUCAAUGACUGUGGUCAUUUCCCAACUCAGGAGCAAAUCGACGAUAUUUUCCAUCUGGUCCACAGUGAAAAUCUUGAACAACUUCCUGAUAACAUCACAAAGCCCAAAGCAAUUGAAAUGUUAUUUACACUCUAUCCUCCUCAAGGAGCCCAUGUGCAUGAUAACACAAAACGACUUAAGUCAACUUGGCUGAGACCCAUAGUGAAUGGGGAAGAAGGGUACAAAUAUAUAGAGACAGAACUUAACACUAUUAGAUUGUGAGACAUGAGAUACGAAAUACAGCUCAUCUGCACUAUCAUACAGGAAAGACUAUGAGGGGGUGAAAUGUGCUUCUAGAUCUGAAAUAAAUAAUGAAGAAAGAAUAUAACAAGAGUGGAAGAUGGUGCGUUACAUAUGUCUAGCAUCUGUUGGCCAUACCAGUUCAGAGGAUUCUCUCAAGAGCUGCUCCUCAACACAGUGUGUGGUUAGCCAUCGACUUCUGGGGCAGCUUAUCUCCCCAGAUACAGAAAUGUAACUGCACUGAAGUCCGUCCUCCAGGGCAAGGAGCACAGCCUGAUCAAGGUCCAUGAUGCCCUGGCCUAUAUUCUGGAGAAUGUUAAAAUCUGUCUAUCCUGACUCUACAUGUGUAUGUGAAAUUUUAACUGAAAAAGGCACAACAGAAUGUUCUACCGAGGUGGAUACAAUGUUAUGAAGAUUGUGAAAUGCAGUAAGUGAGACAAACUGUAUGCUAGCAAGACUCUCCGUGACCUUCCAGCUUGGCUGACCUCAUCUUCCACUGACAUCUUCAGACAAACAAGUGUGACCUUCUGGUUCUAGAUUCAAGUUCUCUUAGUAAAGGAGGAUGACAUUCUCGCUAAUCAGUGAUAGCACUACUAUUCAAGACAGGAGAGGAAGGUGAAAGGAGAACAAGGCGAUUACAAGGGAGAACUAACUGAAUAGGUUAAAUUCAUCCAUGUUUGGCUCUGAGACCAGGCAAUCUUGGAUUUGAAUUCUGUUCUGCCACGGCAUCUUCCCUAACCAAUGAAGAAGCAGUUCGUGAAGAAGCUACUUGCAUGGAGAUGAUAACUGGCAAUUCCAGAAUCUGAAAUAAUGGGUUGGAAGUCAUUUUCUUUACAACAAAAUGGAGUCAACUGAAAUGAUAGUUCUGUCCAUAAGGCACAGAAUUGCCCAAACAGUCGGUGCUGGUUUUCCAACUAGCAUACACCAAGUACACCAUUCAUCAAAUCCUGGCUAGCGAGGCUGCUGUUUGCACAAGGAUGGCAACAUGAAGUUGGAAAGCUUUCACUAGAACUGUGGAAAAUUGAAAUGUCUGCCAGGGGACUAGGAGGAACUUGAUUCUUCUGAUUCCAAAUUCUGAUAUGUGUUAGAAAUUUGGUAAAGAUGACAUUAAAGAACAAGCUGCUGUGUCUGAAUAAGGUAGAGCCACCUGUUUGCAUCUCCACCUGUAAUGUAUGAGGAAUCCACUGAUCCACCGGCUCACCAGCAAUUGGUAAUGUCAGAUUUUUCUCCUUACCUUUGACAAUCAAGUAGGCACAUAUUGCACCAUGAGACUUUGAUUCAGAAAGAGCCUGGAAGUGCAUACAGAUCUGCAUGUUGCCUGAUGGUAUGAAGAAUUCCCUAUAAACUGUUCCUG